UACGUAGGGUGCGAGCGUUGUCCGGAAUUAUUGGGCGUAAAGGGCUCGUAGGCGGUCUGUCACGUCGGGGGUGAAAACACGGGGCUUAACCCCGUGCCUGCUUCCGAUACGGGCAGACUAGAGGUAUGCAGGGGAGAACGGAAUUCCUGGUGUAGCGGUGAAAUGCGCAGAUAUCAGGAGGAACACCGGUGGCGAAGGCGGGUCUCUGGGCCGAUACUGACGCUGAGGAGCGAAAGCGUGGGGAGCGAACAGG
rnacentral:rRNA from 1 species